rnacentral:rRNA from 1 species
GCCUAACACAUGCAAGGCGAGGGGAAACAGGGGCUUCGGCCCGCUGACGACCGGCGCACGGGUGAGUAACGCGAAUGCAACCUGCCUGUAACAGCGGGAUAGCUCCCUGAAAGGGGAAUUAACACCGCAUAAGACCACGCUCUCGCAUGGGGACGGGGUAAAAUAUUUAUAGGUUACAGAUGGGCAUGCGUGACAUUAGUUAGUUGGUGAGGUAACGGCUCACCAAGACUGCGAUGUCUAGGGGUUCUGAGAGGAAGGUCCCCCACACUGGAACUGAGACACGGUCCACACUCCUACGGGAGGCAGCAGUGAGGAAUAUUGGUCAAUGGACGCAAGUCUGAACCAGCCAUGUCGCGUGCAGGAUGACUGCCCUAUGGGUUGUAAACUGCUUUUAUAUUGGAAGAAUUGCGCUUACAAGUUAAGCGUUUGACGGUACAUUAUGAAUAAGGAUCGGCUAACUCCGUGCCAGCAGCCGCGGUAAUACGGAGGGUGCAAGCGUUAAUCGGAAUCACUGGGCGUAAAGCGCGCGUAGGCGGUGAUGAAAGUCAGUGGUGAAAGCCCCCAGCUUAACUGGGGAAUUGCCAUUGAAACUGCAUUGCUUGAGUAUGUGAGAGGAUAGUGGAAUUCCUGGUGUAGGAGUGAAAUCCGUAGAUAUCAGGUAGAACACCAAUGGCGAAGGCAGCUUGCUGGGGACUUAUUGACGCUGAGGCUCGAAAGUGUGGGUAGCAAGCAGGAUUAGAUACCCUGGUAGUCCACACAGUAAACGAUGCAUACUGGGGCUUCCGGAUUUAAUUCGGGGUGCCGCAGCUAACGCGUUAAGUAUGCCGCCGGGGGAGUACGUACGCAAGUAUGAAACUCAAAGGAAUUGACGGGGGCCCGCACAAGCGGAGGAACAUGUGGUUUAAUUCGAUGAUACGCGAGGAACCUUACCCGGGUUUGAAUUGCUGAUGGCGAUAAUUGGAGACAGUUAUUUCCCUUCGGGGCGUCAGUGAAGGUGCUGCAUGGUUGUCGUCAGCUCGUGCCGUGAGGUGUCGGCUUAAGUGCCAUAACGAGCGCAACCCUUGCCGUUAGUUGCCAUCGGGUCAUGCCGGGCACUCUAUUGGGACUGCCAUCGUAAGAUGUGAGGAAGGUGGGGAUGACGUCAAAUCAGCACGGCCCUUAUGUCCGGGGCGACACACGUGUUACAAUGGGGGGUACAGUGGGAAGCUACCUGGCGACAGGUUGCGGAUCCCCAAAUCCUUUCUCAGUUCGGAUCGGAGUCUGUAACUCGACUCCGUGAAGUUGGAUUCGCUAGUAAUCGCGCAUCAGCCAUGGCGCGGUGAAUACGUUCCCGGGCCUUGCACUCACCGCCCGUCA